CCUACGGGCGGCAGCAGUGGGGAAUAUUGCACAAUGGGGGGAACCCUGAUGCAGCGACGCCGCGUGGGUGAGGAAGUACUUCGGUAUGUAAAGCCCUAUCAGCAGGGAAGAAAAUGACGGUACCUGACUAAGAAGCCCCGGCUAACUACGUGCCAGCAGCCGCGGUAAUACGUAGGGGGCAAGCGUUAUCCGGAUUUACUGGGUGUAAAGGGAGCGUAGACGGCGUGCCAAGUCUGAUGUGAAAGGCCGGGGCUCAACCCCGGGACUGCAUUGGAAACUGGCGGGCUGGAGUUGGAGAGAAGUACGCGGAAUGCGCGGUGUAGCGGUGAAAUGCUUAGAUAUCGCGCAGAACCCCGAUUGCGAAGGCAGCGUACCGGCUCCACACUGACGCUGAGGCACGAAAGCGUGGGUAUCGAACAGGAUUAGAUACCCCUGUAGUC
rnacentral:rRNA from 1 species